GGCCCCAUAGUGUAGUGGUGAACACGUUGGACUUUGAAUCCAAAGACCCGAGUUCGAACCUCGGUGGGACCU